rnacentral:rRNA from 14 species
AAAGGUGAAAAGAACCCCGGGAGGGGAGUGAAAUAGAACAUGAAACCGUGAGCUUACAAGCAAUGGGAGCCCUACUCAUAGGGUGACCGUGUGCCUGUUGAAGAAUGAGCCGGCGACUUAUAGGCACUGGCAGGUUAAACCGGGAAUGGUGGAGCCAUAGCGAAAGCGAGUCUGAAUAGGGCGAUUGUCAGUGUUUAUAGACCCGAACCCGGGUGAUCUAACCAUGGCCAGGAUGAAGCUUGGGUGAUACCAAGUGGAGGUCCGAACCGACUGAUGUUGAAAAAUCAGCGGAUGAGCUGUGGUUAGGGGUGAAAUGCCAAUCGAACCCGGAGCUAGCUGGUUCUCCCCGAAAUACGUUGAGGCGUAGCGUCUAGUGCUCCAGCAGGGGGGUAAAGCCACUGUUUCGGUGCGGGCUGCGAGAGCGGUACCAAAUCGAGACAAACUCUGAAUACCCUGUGUGUAACUAGGCAGUCAGACUGUGGGGGAUAAGCUCCAUGGUCGAAAGGGAAACAGCCCAGACCGCCAGCUAAGGUCCCCAAAUCAACGCUAAGUGAUAAAGGAGGUGGGAUUGCCCAGACAACCAGGAGGUUUGCCUAGAAGCAGCCAUCCUCAAAGGAGUGCGUAAUAGCUCACUGGUCGAGCGAUCCUGCGCCGAAAAUGAACGGGGCUAAGCGUUGUACCGAAGCUGCGGAUUAAAGUGUUCUUAUGAACAUUGUAAUGGUAGGGGAGCGUUCCAUGUGGGGUGAAGCGUUAGCGUAAGCGGGCGUGGACUGCAUGGAAGUGAGAAUGUCGGCUUGAGUAGCGAAAAAAUGGGUGAGAAUCCCAUUCCCCGAAACCCUAAGGGUUCCUCCGGCAGGCUCGUCCGCGGAGGGUUAGUCAGGACCUAAGGCGAGGCCGAAAGGCGUAGUCGAUGGACAACAGGUCAACAUUCCUGUACUGAUCAUGUUUUGGGAAGGGGGACGGAGAAGGCUAGCCAAUCCGGAUGUUGGUUACCGGUCCAAGCGUUCGAGGCGUUGAGAGCUGGCGAAAACAGCUUGAGCUGAGGCGUGAGUGCGAGCUUCUACGGAAGCGAAGUUGGUGACGUCAAGCUUCCAAGAAAAGCCCUAUACCCGUUAAGGCAUGAUUACCUGUACCCGAAACCGACACAGGUGGGGUGGUAGAGAAUACCGAGGGGCGCGAGGUAACUCUCUCUAAGGAACUCGGCAAAAUGACCCCGUAACUUCGGGAGAAGGGGUGCCAGCGCGAGCUGGUCGCAGUGAAUAGGCCCAGGCGACUGUUUACCAAAAACACAGGUCUCCGCUAAGUCGCAAGACGAUGUAUGGGGGCUGACGCCUGCCCAGUGCCGGAAGGUUAAAGAAGUUGGUCAGCGCAAGCGAAGCUAACGACUGAAGCCCCGGUGAACGGCGGCCGUAACUAUAACGGUCCUAAGGUAGCG